rnacentral:rRNA from 1 species
GUGGGGAAUAUUGGACAAUGGGCGAAAGCCUGAUCCAGCCAUGCCGCGUGUGUGAAGAAGGUCUUCGGAUUGUAAAGCACUUUAAGUUGGGAGGAAGGGCAUUAACCUAAUACGUUAGUGUUUUGACGUUACCGACAGAAUAAGCACCGGCUAACUUCGUGCCAGCAGCCGCGGUAAUACGAAGGGUGCAAGCGUUAAUCGGAAUUACUGGGCGUAAAGCGCGCGUAGGUGGUUCGUUAAGUUGGAUGUGAAAGACCCGGGCUCAACCUGGGAACUGCAUCCAAAACUGGCGAGCUAGAGUACGGUAGAGGGUGGUGGAAUUUCCUGUGUAGCGGUGAAAUGCGUAGAUAUAGGAAGGAACACCAGUGGCGAAGGCGACCACCUGGACUGAUACUGACACUGAGGUGCGAAAGCGUGGGGAGCAAACAGGAUUAGAAACCCUUGUAGUCC